rnacentral:rRNA from 1 species
CCUACGGGUGGCAGCAGUGAGGAAUAUUGGUCAAUGGCCGAGAGGCUGAACCAGCCAAGUCGCGUGAGGGAAGACGGCCCUACGGGUUGUACACCUCUUUUGUCGGGGAGCAAAGCGAGUCACGUGUGACGCAUUGAGAGUACCCGAAGAAAAAGCAUCGGCUAACUCCGUGCCAGCAGCCCCGGCAAUAGGGGGGAUGCGAGCGUUAUCCGGUUUGAUUGGGUUAAAGGGGUGCGCCGGCGGAGGUGCAAGUCAGCGGUAAAAUUCCGGGGCUCAACCCCGGAAUGACGAUGAAAAGGCAUGGCUUGAGUGCGCGAGAAGUACGCGGAAUGCCAGGUGUAGCGGGGAAAUGCAUAGAUAUAACGCAGAACUCCGAUUGCGAAGGCAGCAUACCGGCGCGCAACUGACGCUCAUGCACGAAAGCGUGGGUAUCGAACAGGAUUAGAUACCCGAGUAGUC